rnacentral:rRNA from 1 species
GUGUCAGCAGCCGCGGUAAGACGUAGGGGGCGAGCGUUGUCCGGAUUCAUUGGGCGUAAAGAGCGCGCAGGCGGCCGAGCAAGUCGGUUGUGAAAUCCCGUGGCUCAACCACGGAACCGCAUCCGAAACUGCUCGGCUAGAGGUAGGUAGGGGAGAUCGGAAUUCCUGGUGUAGCGGUGAAAUGCGCAGAUAUCAGGAGGAACACCGGUGGCGAAGGCGGAUCUCUGGGCCUUACCUGACGCUCAGGCGCGAAAGCUAGGGGAGCGAACAGGAUUAGAAACCCUCGUAGUCC